AAGCUGGCAGUCCCAUCUCUCCACCGCGGCCCAUGCAGGCACCAAAUUCCACGGGCACACUCUGGACGGUAAAAAUAGCUCCCCAGCCCACAACAACCUAGGACCUUCUCUGCCAGGCCGGGGUGCCCGCCUGGGCACUCAGCGAUCCCCUGCCAGGGGGACGGCCGGGCCGCCAAGAGCUCUGCCAAAGUCAGGAGAAAGCCAUGAAUGGGAGGCCACAGGAGGCGGCGAAGGGACGGUGAGGAGCAAAUGAAAGGCAGAACAGAUGACAACAAGUUUCCAGCUGCUGAACAAUAAGUGUGCCCAAAAAUGCCAUUGCCACUGCCACUCCUACCUGCAGAGAUGGCUUCAACACCAAGGACCACGAGGAGAGAAGGAUGGGCGAGACCUCAGCUGCCUUUACAGGAAAGGACUUCCUGGGGAUCUGGGGAUUUGGGCAGGGGUGGAGGAAGGUGGU